rnacentral:rRNA from 1 species
AGUGAACGCUGGCGGUAGGCCUAACACAUGCAAGUCGAACGGCAGCACAGUAAGAGCUUGCUCUUACGGGUGGCGAGUGGCGGACGGGUGAGGAAUACAUCGGAAUCUACUUUUUCGUGGGGGAUAACGUAGGGAAACUUACGCUAAUACCGCAUACGACCUACGGGUGAAAGCAGGGGAUCUUCGGACCUUGCGCGAUUGAAUGAGCCGAUGUCGGAUUAGCUAGUUGGCGUGGUAAAGGCCCACCAAGGCGCCGAUCCGUAGCUGGUCUGAGAGGAUGAUCGGCCACACUGGAACUGAGACACGGUCCAGACUCCUACGGGAGGCAGCAGUGGGGAAUAUUGGACAAUGGGCGCAAUCCUGAUCCAGCCAUACCGCGUGGGUGAAGAAGGCCUUCGGGUUGUAAAGCCCUUUUGUUGGGAAAGAAAAGCAGCAGGUUAAUACCCCGCUGUUCUGACGGUACCCAAAGAAUAAGCACCGGCUAACUUCGUG